GACGAACGCUGGCGGCGUGCUUAACACAUGCAAGUCGAACGGAAAGGCUCCAGCUUGCUGGAGUGCUCGAGUGGCGAACGGGUGAGUAACACGUGGGCAAUCUGCCCUGCACUCUGGGAUAAGCCUGGGAAACUGGGUCUAAUACCGGAUAGGACCUUUCUCCUCAUGGGGUUUGGUGGAAAGUUUUUCGGUGCAGGAUGAGCCCGCGGCCUAUCAGCUUGUUGGUGGGGUAAUGGCCUACCAAGGCGACGACGGGUAGCCGGCCUGAGAGGGUGAUCGGCUAAAUUGGGACUGAGAUACGGCCCAGACUCCUACGGGAGGCAGAAGUGGGGAAUAUUGCACAAUGGGAGAAAGCCUGAUGCAGCGACGCCGCGUGGGGGAUGACGGCCUUCGGGUUGUAAACCUCUUUCAGUAGGGACGAAGCGCAAGUGACGGUACCUGCAGAAGAAGCACCGGCUAACUACGUG
rnacentral:rRNA from 1 species